GCAGCUUCACUGCAUUAGUGGUAGCAUGUCUAACAAUUUGUUCAAACAUGAACCUUCCAUAAUCAAAGUUGAGCUUGGUUCCAAUAGCAUAUAUAAUCCUUCCAAGAGCAUUAGAUAUUGUUGAGAUGUGGUUUGUUGGCACCUAGUGGAUUGAACCUAUCUUAUGCAAGAUAGCAUAUUUUACAGUUAAUUUGCCAGCACAUAAAUGCUUUUU
rnacentral:lncRNA from 1 species